rnacentral:lncRNA from 10 species
GUUGUCGGUAAAUUCUUUUUACCAACCCCCCAGUCGACCACUUCCCGGUGCCGGGGCUCUGACACCGCGCGCAGAGACAGAGGCAGGCGGCCCCCUCUCUGCUGCCCCUUCUCCCUGCUGGUCUCAUGAAUGCUCUCACCUGAGCUUCUCCUUUUCCUUUUCUACUUUCUCCUUUACCAAGGGCGCAGCUGCUCUUCGGAGAGGCAGUUGGGUCCACAGAAUCAGCUGCCUCUUGGAGAGCGGUGUGAGGUUAUGAGGGAGCUGAGGGGAAGUAAAGAGAGGGUCCAGUGUGCCUCACCUUGGUCCCACACACCGAAGGAAAGGGUUUCAGAGAGGACUGGUGGAUGCUGACACACCGUCCAUUUUGAGAAGACUCCUUGUAUGGGUGGCAGUGUGCUUCCCCAAAACUCAUGUUGAAGCCCUAACCCAUAACACCUUAGAAUGUGACUGUAUUUAGAGACUGGAUUUCUAAAGAGGCGAUUAAUUUUAAAGAGACCAUUAGGGUGAGCCCUAAUCCAAUCUGCCUGCUGUUCUUAUAAGAAGAGGAAAUUGAACCUGCAAGGAGCUAUUAGGGCCUCUUGCAGAGAGGGAUGACCGCAUGCAGAGGCCACAAGAGGGCGCCCUCUGCAAGCCAAGGAGAAACCUCAGAAGACACCAACCCUGAAGAGGAAAUUGAUGUUGGACUUCUGGCCUCCGGAAGAACACAGAGUCUUGCUGUGUUGCACAAGCUGACCUCCAACUUCUAGGCUCAAGUGAUCCUUCCACCUCGACCUCCCGCAGUGUUGGAAUAACAGGUCUCAGCAACUCCUUUGUUGCCAACUUUUACCGGACCCAUGGGUCUGAAAGAGAAGCACAGUCCAUAGUGUUCCAGCUUUGAGUGUGGCUCUCUCAGAAGAAGGUGUGACAGCUGCCUCCUUGCUAAGAGAAAGACGUUUCAGUGUCUGCCUCCUGGGAAUGGAGUCUCCUGGUGACUCUGAGGAUGGCGCAGGACUCUCCCAGCUAACACUACACAGAGGCUCCCCCUCUUCAUGCCACCCCUUUGCCAGCUGCAGCCUGUGUGGACCCAGACACUUCUGACCCAGGCUCCAGUGCCCGCAUGUCUGAUAGCCUGUAUUUCAAACUCUGGGCUCUCCUGGACAUUCCCUCUCCAGCUGUAUAUGAUGUUAUUUUUCAGACCCAUUUACUGUUGUCCAGUGGCCUGCCAAGACCUUUAGGUGAAGACGCUGACUCCCUCGCCGGCUCUUCUUCAUUCUUUUCAAACACACGUCAGAGUGGAACGCACAUCCUUUUUGCUUCACCUUCCAGGGAGAGAACGAGUCUUGAAGCAUCAACAGCUCUUUGAACACUUCCCAGGAAGACUAUUCAAGGACAUCUCUACUGGAAUCAGAAUUAUUUCCUUGGAGAUGGAGAGCUCCAAAACCCACAGUGCUUGGAAGUGAGUAUUGUGUGGUUGGAGAUAGUUUGCAGACUUUAGAUGGUAGCUGUGGAUGGUGAACUGAAAGUCAUCCUCAGCUUAAUGAUGAGUUGUCAUUUAUAAAAGAUAUCCAAAUUUUUUAUUGCAAUUAUUGUAUAGAAGUGAUCUCACAUCUGUUCUCCUUUUCUCUGCUUCCCAAAGGUAUUAUACAGAAACACAUUGUACAAAAUGUUACUCUUUGAGGAGUUUCAUUUGUUUCAU